rnacentral:rRNA from 1 species
AGUGAACGCUGGCGGUAGGCCUGACACAUGCAAGUCGAACGGCAGCACAGUAAGAGCUUGCUCUUACGGGUGGCGAGUGGCGGACGGGUGAGGAAUACAUCGGAAUCUACUUUUUCGUGGGGGAUAACGUAGGGAAACUUACGCUAAUACCGCAUACGACCCACGGGUGAAAGCAGGGGAUCUUCGGACCUUGCGCGAUUGAAUGAGCCGAUGUCGGAUUAGCUAGUUGGCGGGGUAAAGGCCCACCAAGGCGACGAUCCGUAGCUGGUCUGAGAGGAUGAUCAGCCACACUGGAACUGAGACACGGUCCAGACUCCUACGGGAGGCAGCAGUGGGGAAUAUUGGACAAUGGGCGCAAGCCUGAUCCAGCCAUACCGCGUGGGUGAAGAAGGCCUUCGGGUUGUAAAGCCCUUUUGUUGGGAAAGAAAAGCAGCAGGUUAAUACCCCGCUGUUCUGACGGUACCCAAAGAAUAAGCACCGGCUAACUUCGUG